AAGUGAAAUCAGUGUUCCAAAACACAUUACAGAGGAUAACAAGCAAAGCUAUUCUCUCUAUUUUCCUCAAACAAACAAAAAAAAUUCUCAGCACAGUGAGAUAGAGAGACAAUGGCGGUGGCAGCAAGCACAAGCACAGUGUUAGUCCCUCGUCUACUUACAACAACCACCAACGUUACUCGUUGCUCUGCUUUGCCAUAUCUUCCUCCUCGUCUCUCCACCACUCCUUCUUCUUCUUCUUCUUCCCUUUUCCUUAAACACUCUAUUUCAGGUAUUAUAACUAUCAACACACUUUUUUGGAUAGCCACUUCAAUUCUAUUAAUAAUGCUCACAUAUAUGUUCAUUGUAUAUGUAAUUAGGCUUGUUUGGAUUAUCUUUUGGCUUAGGAUACUUUUCAAUUACAAUAAGGGCUUAUGCAUAACCUAUUUUAUAGCAUCUGAUAAAAUUAAGUUGUUUUUGUAGGUAGUAUAUGCUAUAAGCUGUUUCAAUAUGCUGUCUUGGAGAACUUAUAAAAAUAAGCUGAAAAAAGCUUAUGAAAAAUGUCAUAAGCUGUUUUUAUAAAUUUUUCCUAUCAAACUCACGAAACUUAUGGCAAUAGAUAAACUCAAAUAAGUCAAUCCAAACAGGUCCUAAGUUUGUGUUUAGUUUUAGCUGAAUCCCUAACCUUCAGA
rnacentral:lncRNA from 1 species